UACGUAGGGCGCAAGCGUUGUCCGGAAUUAUUGGGCGUAAAGAGCUCGUAGGCGGCUUGUCACGUCGGGUGUGAAAGCCCGGGGCUUAACCCCGGGUCUGCAUUCGAUACGGGUUAGCUAGAGUGUGGUAGGGGAGAUCGGAAUUCCUGGUGUAGCGGUGAAAUGCGCAGAUAUCAGGAGGAACACCGGUGGCGAAGGCGGAUCUCUGGGCCAUUACUGACGCUGAGGAGCGAAAGCGUGGGGAGCGAACAGG
rnacentral:rRNA from 1 species